AGCCACGGCACACCCUAGUGUGCGUCUCCAGAUUUGCACUCUGAUGUGAAACACCUCAUGGCUUG
rnacentral:tRNA from 1 species